GAAAAUGUCAAAAGUUGGUAUCGAAUCGGUACCGAAAAGGUACCCGGUACGGUAAAUUCGGUACCGGUACCGUUCGGUACCGGGUCCAUUUUGCUCAUCCCUAAUAAUACCCAUGUUUCACCCUUGGCCAGCAUCAUCAUGCUACCAUCACCAUCAUCCUUUAACCCCAACCCAUCUCUCUAUGUGCUCGUAUUCCUCAAAUACCACCACCACCAUCGUUCCUCCUCCACCACUGCCACCCAUCGUCGAUAACACCGCCCCCACUACAAGCAGAUACGAGGGCGUAAACCUAAAUCUGGAGUCCCUUACUUCCAAAAACCACCACUAUCAACUGCGUCGCCGCCGUAAAUCACCUGUUCACAUCGUUAAAAAAGUUGAAAACCCCCUUUGUUUCUCCGUCUAGAUAUUAAAAGACGCAAGUUUAAAUGUUCUUUGUGGGGAUACAUAUGAGAGUGAAGUUUUGUUCGGAUAUUGAUGAAUGUACAUCGGUGGUUGCGUUGAGCGGUGAUAGGGGAAUACGAGCACACACACAGAGAUGGGUUAGAUUUAAUUGAGAUGGUGGUGGUAGCAUGAUGAUGAUGGUAAGGGUGAAACAUGGGUAUUAUAGUCUUUUAAUAUUAUUGUUUUUUUUUAAUUUUUGAAAUACCAAAGGUAUUAUAGUCUUUUUAUCA